UACGAAGGGGGCUAGCGUUGCUCAGAAUCACUGGGCGUAAAGGGUGCGUAGGCGGGUCUUUAAGUCAGGGGUGAAAUCCUGGAGCUCAACUCCAGAACUGCCUUUGAUACUGAAGAUCUUGAGUUCGGGAGAGGUGAGUGGAACUGCGAGUGUAGAGGUGAAAUUCGUAGAUAUUCGCAAGAACACCAGUGGCGAAGGCGGCUCACUGGCCCGAUACUGACGCUGAGGCACGAAAGCGUGGGGAGCAAACAGG
rnacentral:rRNA from 1 species